rnacentral:rRNA from 1 species
GACGAACGCUGGCGGCGUGCUUAACACAUGCAAGUCGAACGGAAAGGCCCUGCUUUUGUGGGGUGCUCGAGUGGCGAACGGGUGAGUAACACGUGAGUAACCUGCCCUUGACUUUGGGAUAACUUCAGGAAACUGGGGCUAAUACCGGAUAGGAGCCCCUGCUGCAUGGUGGGGGUUGGAAAGUUUCGGCGGUUGGGGAUGGACUCGCGGCUUAUCGGCUUGUUGGUGGGGUAGUGGCUUACCAAGGCUUUGACGGGUAGCCGGCCUGAGAGGGUGACCGGCCACAUUGGGACUGAGAUACGGCCCAGACUCCUACGGGAGGCAGCAGUGGGGAAUAUUGCACAAUGGGCGGAAGCCUGAUGCAGCAACGCCGCGUGCGGGAUGACGGCCUUCGGGUUGUAAACCGCUUUCGCCUGUGACGAAGCGUGAGUGACGGUAAUGGGUAAAGAAGCACCGGCUAACUACGUG